rnacentral:siRNA from 1 species
UGCUCUGAUUCCACAAACCUAGU